AUACGGAGGGUGCAAGCGUUAUCCGGAUUCAUUGGGUUUAAAGGGUGCGCAGGCGGAAUGAUAAGUCAGUGGUGAAAUCCUACAGCUUAACUGUAGAACUGCCAUUGAUACUGUCAUUCUUGAGUACACUUGAAGUGGGCGGAAUGUAUCAUGUAGCGGUGAAAUGCAUAGAUAUGAUACAGAACUCCGAUAGCGAAGGCAGCUCACUAAAUUGUAACUGACGCUCCGGCACGAAAGCGUGGGGAGCAAACAGGAUUAGAUACCCCAGUAGUCC
rnacentral:rRNA from 1 species